rnacentral:rRNA from 1 species
GCUGGCGGCAGCCCUUAUACAUGCAAGUCGAACGAGAAAGUUCCUUCGGGAGCGAGUAAAGUGGCGGACGGGUGAGUAACGCGUAGGAAUCUACCUUUCAGUGGGGGAUAGCUCGGGGAAACUCGAAUUAAUACCGCAUACACCCUUCGGGGGAAAGGGGGCCUCUCCUUGGAAGCUCUCGCUGUUAGAUGAGCCUGCGUGAGAUUAGCUUGUUGGUAAGGUAAUGGCUUACCAAGGCUACGAUCUCUAGCUGGUCUGAGAGGACGAUCAGCCACACUGGGACUGAGACACGGCCCAGACUCCUACGGGAGGCAGCAGUAGGGAAUAUUGGACAAUGGGGGCAACCCUGAUCCAGGCAUGCCGCGUGUGUGAAGAAGGCCUUAGGGUUGUAAAGCACUUUAAGUGAGGAAGAAAAGAUUUAAAUUAAUACUUUAAGUCCCUGACAUUACUCACAGAAUAAGGACCGGCUAACUCCGUGCCAGCAGCCGCGGUAAUACGGAGGGUCCAAGCGUUAAUCGGAAUUACUGGGCGUAAAGCGCGCGUAGAUGGUUUAUUCAGUUGGGUGUGAAAUCCCUGGGCUCAACCUAGGAACUGCAUUCAAAACUUAUAAACUAGAGUACGAAAGAGGAGAGUAGAAUUCAUGGUGUAGCGGUGAAAUGCGUAGAGAUCAUGAGGAAUACCAGUGGCGAAGGCGACUCUCUGGUUCGAGACUGACAUUGAGGUGCGAAAGCGUGGGUAGCAAACAGGAUUAGAUACCCUGGUAGUCCACGCCGUAAACGAUGAGAACUAGCCGUUGGAUCUUUAGAUUCAGUGGCGCAGCUAACGCAUUAAGUUCUCCGCCUGGGG